rnacentral:rRNA from 1 species
GUGGGGAAUAUUGGACAAUGGGCGAAAGCCUGAUCCAGCCAUGCCGCGUGUGUGAAGAAGGUCUUCGGAUUGUAAAGCACUUUAAGUUGGGAGGAAGGGCAGUAAGUUAAUACCUUGCUGUUUUGACGUUACCGACAGAAUAAGCACCGGCUAACUCCGUGCCAGCAGCCGCGGUAAUACGAAGGGUGCAAGCGUUAAUCGGAAUUACUGGGCGUAAAGCGCGCGUAGGUGGUUUUGUAAGUUGGAGGUGAAAUCCCCGGGCUCAACCUGGGAACUGCCUCCAAAACUGCAUGACUAGAGUACGGUAGAGGGUAGUGGAAUUUCCUGUGUAGCGUUGAAAUGCGUAGAUAUAGGAAGGAACACCAGUGGCGAAGGCGACUACCUGGACUGAUACUGACACUGAGGUGCGAAAGCGUGGGGAGCAAACAGGAUUAGAUACCCUUGUAGUCC